UUUACUUUCGUUUUCGGUCUGUUUAAUUUUAGAGCAUGUUGCUAAAAUUAGGUUUCUUCAAAAGCGGUCAUUCCAAUUUUUAGUCUGCAUUUUUUUUUUUUUUUUUAAAUUUAUGGCUUAUUAUAAUGAACACUCUUGCAAUCUGUUUCCGAAAAUUAUCCAUUUUGCAACCACAUUGUCACUUUAAAUAACAAAUAUACACGAUUAAAAAGCAUUUAAAUACGAAAGGAAAAUUAUCUGUUGGUUCCUCUUUAGAAUUUAGCCUGAGUUCUAAAGGAAGAAGAUGUCUGAGAGCAGAUGGUUAUAUUUACUAUCGAGAUUAUGAACGUUAUAAUAAAACUUAUUGGCGCUGUGUAUAUUUUCGAAAAUUGAAUUGUUCUUCUGCUCCAGCUAAUCAUGUUAGUUUUUCACCAUUCUUUGGAUUCAGUACUAUGGCAAGACGAGAACGAGGGCAGGGACCUGGUGGCCGAUUCUCUUGUCCUCACUGCACUUAUUCUACCAAUUUGAAAGGUGACUUUAAAAGACAUCAAUUGACUCACACAGGUGAGAAACCUCAUGAAUGUACAUUCUGUGGUAAACGUUUCAGUUUAAAAGGAAACCUUCAGGUACACCUUCAUGUGCAUGCAAGGCAAAUAAACUUGUAUUAGGGUGAGGUUUUUUAAAUAUCUGUCUCUGAAUUAUUGUUUCUUAUUGAAAUUAAAAUUAAUAAACAAUGAUUUUUUGUCACUGUUGAGAGCCAUAACAUGCUUUUCAAAGAUCUGAACAAAUUUUUUAUCCAAUGAUUUUGUAUCUAAAAAAAAUAACAAUUUCGUUGCCCUUAUCUUUUUGUUCCAUUUCUUGCUAUUGCAGUAACUGCAUCUUCAGAUUAUAGAGCUAAAUAGACACUGUUAUUGUCUGUGCAACUUAUUCUAAUUUUAACUCUGAAGAAACUGAGUAUAUGGGCUUAAAAUUCUUCUCUGAAAAUACUUACAAAUAACUGCUUUUAUUAUUAUCAUAUUCUAUAAUAAACAAUAUAAAAUCUAGGUAUGAAAGCACAUCUACAUUUUUCUGAUAAUAAAUAGGUGCUUCUUCAAGUAUAUCAAUGACAAAUAAAAUUGUUAUUCCAAGUUUAUGUUGUAAAACUUAGAAUUUUUAAUAAAUUACGUGGCAUGAAAUUGCUAUAUUUGGCAGCUGCUUCUGUAUUAGAUAAAUGACAUUUUCUUCAAAAGUAAUCCUUGUUGACAAAUGUCUAUUAAUGUAACAGAAAAUUGCAUUUUAUUUAAUUCAUUAUUAAUGAAACAAAGUAGCACGUAGAUAAUCAUCUCAGCUGAAAUGCAAAAUAUUGAUAACUAUGUAACAUGUAUUGUAAUGAAAUUUGUACACAUUAAGGAAAGAAAAAAAGAAACACUUGUAACGUAGAAUAUUUGUUCUACCAAAAAUUUUUUAAUAAAAACAUUUAUUUAUUAUUUUUGGUAAUAUUUCUGUGUAAUAAUAAAAUCAUGUAUUUUAUGUAAAAUAAAAAAAUUUU